rnacentral:rRNA from 1 species
UACGUAGGGGGCAAGCGUUGUCCGGAAUUAUUGGGCGUAAAGAGCGUGUAGGCGGUCCGGUAAGUCAGCUGUGAAAGUCAAGGGCUCAACCCUUGAAAGCCGGUUGAUACUGUCGGGCUAGAGUCCGGAAGAGGCGAGUGGAAUUCCCGGUGUAGCGGUGAAAUGCGCAGAUAUCGGGAGGAACACCAAUGGCGAAGGCAGCUCGCUGGGACGGUACUGACGCUGAGACGCGAAGGCCAGGGGAGCAAACGGG